UUGCUUUGGCAGCACAGAUACUAAAAUUGGAACAAUACAAAGAAGAUCAGCACGGCCUCUGUGCAAGGAUGACAUGCAAAUUCGUGAAGCGCUUCAUAUUUUU
ensembl:snRNA U6 U6 spliceosomal RNA